AUGGCUUCACUCGUAACAAUCCAUGUGCCUUCUGUUUAUUCAAUCAAAUAGGAGGAACUGGAGGGUACUUCAAACCGAAACAAAGAAUUGAUCCUAACUACGUGAAGUUAAGUAGCUUUAAAGCCUCUGAACUAUUUUGAUGCUACUCCACCAGGAAAGUGCAGGCCUUCAAGAACCAAAAGACACCCCUUGAGCUCUCUUCGGCCUAAUAAGCCAUUUUGUUGUUUAUAUCCUUAACCCCAAAAGGUUUCCUCUUAGCAUCUCUAUUGUUCUCCUGAUCCUUAUUAGGUGUCAGAUUAUCCUGAAGAAAGGCAGUUGAUAUCAUAUUAUCAUUAAAUAAAUCCAAAGUUAACAUGUGGAUCGUGGGGAAUGGCGAGAUGCCAUAUUGGGGUUCACAACAUAAAUAGAAGACCACUAAUUUAUAGAAGGAAAGAAAAUGCCUGAACACCCUUAAGAAAGGCCAUGAUGACAUACUAAGUGUUUUGAAAUGAGAAAUUAUUUUGUCGUCGAAAGAGAAAAAUGACGAAGCACAAACCUUUUUCAGAUACAUUCAGCUCGGCUCUCAAGAACAGUUGCAACAACUACACAAGCACCAGUCCCACAAGCAACAUUUGCUCCUACAGUUUAUUUUGUAUAUCCACUACAUGAAAGAAAUGCCUGGAGAUAAAAGGAUAUCUCACUGAAAAUCAUCAUACAUCAGAGUUAUUUACAUUAUGGAUUAAUAAUGUCUUGGGAGGACCAAAACAUGUGUAACAUUUUAAUAACAUAUAAAGAUAAUGCAGGGAGGUAAAGGGUUUCUCAUGUUCAAUCACAAUGCAUAUCCUGCAAAAGUAAUGAAGAUCAAAGGGAUAUCAGUUAUACGAGCACCGCGCUCCCAAACUUGCAUUUUGAGGUGUGAGUGAGACAAGAACUGAACAAAUUCUACAGAAAGAAACUUAUUUGAUAAGAAAACAAAUGCAAGGGCAUUGUGCAGAAGGUGGACGUACUUCUGAAAAAUAUGCAGCACCGUUUUGUGACAAUUAACCCUCCUGUUUUUGUUCCUGAUUGCUCACAAUAUGGUAUACCACUACACCAAAGAAAGCAAUAUCACACGGCAAACCUUAUAUUUUUUAACCAUCACACAGGAGAACCAUCUAAAGGAAAUAGAUACGGAUGCCACGGACUAACCUAAAAUGAGUGGUUUCAUCAUGUGUGAUUGCCUGGACCAGGAGAAGGAGAUCUUGGGUGAUGUAAGCAGGCUUGCAUAUCCGUAAGCAACGAGACACCUCAGUUGGCAAAUUUUGAAGGAGAUACUAUUCGGUAUUCUAUUUUCUCCUGGGUGCAUCUCAUAGAAAAUGUAGCAGCAAGUGGGAGUACACAUGGUGAAAGGUUUGCUUCGCCUAGUUCAAAGGUAGCAUGAUAUACCAAAAGCAAGUCAUAACAGUAGUCGAGGAUAACUGAUUCAUAUGAUUAUUCUGUGGUAUAAGGUGACAGUAGUAGAUUAUAGAGUAGACCAUAGAUAAAUAGCUUUGUCUGAAUGUCUGGCAUGUUGUGAUGCAAGGAUCUGCUAAUGAAAAUACUAAGUUAGUCAGAGUGUGUUUCAUGGAGAGUGAGAAUAUAUUUUAUGCACAGACCUUCUGAAAGCUUAUGGACAGUGAGUGGUCUCAAGGCAGAACAGUAUAUCAAACUUGCCAAAUAAACAUACUUGCCAAAUAUAAUUUAUGCACUGACCAUCCGCAGCCCCGGCUCAACUGAAAAAAUAGAUAUACAUUAUGUCAACGUUCAGAAAAUUCUGAGCUCCAAACUCAGUGCAUUUACUGAAAUCUGAUUUGGAACUCUAAAGACAAAAGCAAAUGCAAAUAGAAGUCGAUGCAAUCUCCAAACCCACCCUCACGAAAAGACAUGCAUCAAUCAAGAUAGAUAAUGAAGUUAAGGAUCAUUUUUCAGCAGCAGAUCCAUAAGAGUGCAACACCAUGGCAGAUCAGAAAAUUCAUUCACUGCUACUUUAACUCCUUACUCCUAAGCUCGAGAACACACAAAUGCUUCUAUAAAAGCUUCAGACCACCAGUAACAUCAUAAACCAAGUAAAGUUGGUAUUACUCAAAAGAAAUAGUAGAAUAAGCAAACCAAUCUCAGUUACUCACAAGUACUAAAGAUCACGAAAAAACAUGAUACCUUAUGAAGCAAGGAGACAUCGCACAGUUAUUGCAGUACAUUUAUUAGGUUUCUGUGCAUGAAACAUAUACCUCUUCUAAGUGAAAGUGAGAUUUGCCGCUUCCAUUCAGCUACUCUGCAUCCAUUUGAUAAAGACCUGGCAAAAUCGGCCUUCGCUAACACCAUCCCUCCAAUGAAAGGAAACAAGCUCAUGGUGUAAACAACUAAGAUUUUGAUUCAAAAAAUCAAAGCAAAAAAUAAUUUCCAUCUUUAACUGAUGUAUCAGUAAGAUGUUGAUACAGAAACAAGCCCUCAGUGUUGAUAGAUGUAGACAACUAAGAUGUUGAUUGAUACAGAAACAAGCUCUCGGUGUAGACAGAUGUAGACAACUAGGAUCUUGAUUCAGAAACAACUAAAAUGUUGAUUCAGAAACAACUAAAAUGUUGAUUCAGAAACCGGUGUAGACAACUACGAUGUUGAUUCAGAAACAAAUUCUUGGUAUAGAAAGAUGUAGGUUGCUAUGAAAAAGAAAGAUGAACCACCAACCUAGCAACCAGACAAGCAAAAGAGGAAGUAAACCUGAUGGUAGUGGUCUCUUGCCAUCGAGGCCGGUGCGCUCGAACUGGCGUUAAUAUUUCACCUCUGCAAAUUUACUGGAACAUUGCUUCUUUGUUUCUUCAUUUUUUAUGCUAUACAAAGAUAUUGUGAGGUCAGCAAUGUCACCAAGUCUUCCAGGAUAUUCUGGCUUCUAUUCAACCUGUACAAUUAAGAAGCAAUCAGAAUGGCGACCAUCGGACAUGCCAUUCAGCCUUUGUUUUCCCUACUAAUUUCUUUUCUGAAUAGUCCCAGAAAGCUGGAAAAAAAAACUGUGAGCUAUGUGGCAACCACAUAAAGAAAUAUCAAAGCAUGCCCUUUUUUGCUUUUGUAGUCUGUCAUAGGCUCUCUUAAACCAGACAAGACUUCCCCAAUCAGAUUGUUUACUCAUUCUAACUGUUAAGGCUAUUGUCUAAUACAAAUUUUAGUGACAAUAUUACCCAGCGAAUUACCAGGUCCAAAUAUAACAAUAAUUGGUGGAGAAAUUUGGGUCAAAGGAUAUCACCAAGCUAAACAUGAUUUUUUUUCUUACACGAAAGCAAGCAAUAACAGAACAUUAACAAUUUGUUAAACGCAUAUUGCUAUGCUAAUAACCAAACUACUCCCUCCGUUCCUAAAUAUAAGUCUUUUUAGACAUUUCAAAUGGACUAUAACAUACGGAUGUACGUAGACAUAUUUUAGAGUAUAGAUUCAUUCAUUUUUCUCCGUAUGUAGUCACUUGUUGAAAUCU
rnacentral:lncRNA from 1 species